GUUGAAAUUCUGCCUCUGAGAAGCUAACAGUCUUCCUGUGGUCGCCACUCCUCCCCAGCAGCCCCCUCCUUGCCAAGGACGGUCCAGAAGGAGCCCCACUGGGGCCUCCCCGCUCAGCAAAGCAGACCUCACCUCCCACUACCAGUUACGGCAGAGUCUACGCAGCUGCCGACCCGUACCAUCACACCAUCGGGCCCGCGGCGACCUACAGCAUUGGAACCAUGGUAAGGAGCCCAGGCCCGCCCAGCCCUGGGUGCCAGUCCUAACAGCUGGGCAUGGGUGGUGAGGCCCUUGGGGGAGAGGCCGAGCCCUCUGACCAAUGCCUUGGUCCCGGAGACUUUGGAAGGACCACGGCCUGGAUGUGAGUUAGGGUGAGGGGAGGGCUGGCCCCUCACGCCCUCUCAGUUGCGGGGAAGC
rnacentral:lncRNA from 1 species